GUGUCAGCCGCCGCGGUAAUACAGAGGUCUCAAGCGUUAAUCGGAAUCACUGGGCUUAAAGGGUGCGUAGGCGGAUCUGUAAGUGCCUUGUGAAAUCCCAUGGCUCAACCAUGGAAUUGCUUGGUAGACUGCAGGUCUUGAGGUCGGUAGGGGCUGCCGGAACUCUAGGUGGAGCGGUGAAAUGCGUAGAUAUCUAGAGGAACGCCGAAGGUGAAGACAGGCAGCUGGGCCGAUUCUGACGCUGAGGCACGAAAGCGUGGGGAGCAAACGGGAUUAGAUACCCCGGUAGUCCACGCCCUAAACUAUGUAGACUAGAUCGCGGAGGCUCUGACGCCAUCGUGGUCGAAGCAAAAGUGCUAAGUCUACCGCCUGGGGAGUACGGUCGCAAGGCUAAA
rnacentral:rRNA from 1 species